rnacentral:ncRNA from 1 species
AUGGCUUCUUCGAAGAUCUUACAUGCUUUUUCUUUCAGUGAAUAUAAGAUUCAAAGCGAAGCCUAUAAUGAAA